rnacentral:lncRNA from 1 species
GCCACAGUAUGAGAAUAAGCAUACUUAAAAGAAAGAUAAACAAGAUGAAAUAAAAUGUUACAAAAUCUUGAAAUUAGCCGAUUUAAAUUGCUAUUGGUACUUUCUUCUCCAUCGUCUUCUCCUUCCAUUCUCCUCCUUCAGAUUUCCCCUAGAGUGAAGAAAGUUCUAUAGUGUUUGUUGAGAACGUAGGGAGUGGGAGUAGAAAGCCAAGUAAUUUUCUGCAUGCUAAAUUUUAAGUACAGAUGUUUUGAACUACAUAAUACAAUGAAGACAGGUCUGACUCUGAAAAUGGCCAUUCCCAUGGCAAGUUGCAUACACAUACCAAUUUAUUUCCUAUUUCAUUACUUCCUGUGUUUCCCUGCCCCUUCCAGCUGCAGCCAAAAAUAUGGAACUUCACUGCUGAAACACAGAUAUCCAGUUUUUCCACAUGCUGCCCUCUGGUCAACUGCUUACAAGACUAAAAAGAGACUACUUAGUUGAGGGCUGAUGAAACCGGGAUUUCCAAUUGCCGGCCACCUCCCUGAAGCUCCGUUCUACUAGCUACUACUAGUAAGAUGAAAGAUUAAAUGGUUUGUCUGAUGCUUCUAUCUGGCAGAAAAUUAUAAUGCCAGCAAGAUCUUCCUCAAAGAAAAAGAGCACGUAAGAGAGAAUAAUCCUACUCCUUGGAAAANAUUUUUAGCCACAUCUAAAUAUUUUUAGCCCUUUCUUCCUUUCCCUACUCUUUUUUCCUCCCAAUAACUUAGUUAUUACUUCAGAGUGAUUGCCUUUACUCUGAUUGAUUUUACAUUGAUUUUUCAGUCACAUUAACACAUGGUCACAUCAACUGUCUACACAGCACACUCUCUAUUCAUGACCUGAUCUCAGGCUAGUAUUUUUUGUGGGGGCUGUCUGGACACAUUACUAUCAUUCUCAGUCAAAAUUGUUGACUCUCAUUGGCUUGUUUUUGUUCAUCUGUUUCAUGGUUUUAUAUGUGCUCAUAAAUUCCUUUAAGAAAGGUGAUUAAUACUUUUUAAGAAUAACAAUAAUUAC